UACAGAGGUCUCAAGCGUUGUUCGGAUUCAUUGGGCGUAAAGGGUGCGUAGGUGGCGAUGUAAGUCUGGUGUGAAAUCUCGGAGCUUAACUUCGAAAUUGCAUUGGAUACUGCGUUGCUUGAGGAUUGUAGAGGAGAGUGGAAUUCACGGUGUAGCAGUGAAAUGCGUAGAUAUCGUGAGGAAGACCAGUUGCGAAGGCGACUCUCUGGGCAAUUCCUGACACUGAGGCACGAAGGCCAGGGGAGCAAACGGG
rnacentral:rRNA from 1 species